rnacentral:snoRNA from 1 species
UCCCUCACGCCUUUAUGAUGAAUAUAAGAAACCUUACGGCAUUAGGAAGAGCCGGAAAAGGAUGCCAGGGAACUGGGCACACCUUGUGGACGGAAAGUGUAUCGUCAAAUGCCUUUCUCGCCUCAGGGAAUUGUGUCCACCUGGCGUCGGUGCUUAGAAUGGUUCUUCUGAUACUUACUUCCCU